rnacentral:rRNA from 1 species
UACGGGAAGGCAGCAGUGGGGAAUAUUGCACAAUGGGCGAAAGCCUGAUGCAGCUAUGCCGCGUGUAUGAAGAAGGCCUUAGGGUUGUAAAGUACUUUCAUCGGGGAGGAAAAACAAAACUAAUAAUUUUAUUUCUUGACGUUACCCGAAAAAGAAGCACCGGCUAACUCCGUGCCAGCAGCCGCGGUAAUACGGAGGGUGCUAGCGUUAAUCAGAAUUACUGGGCGUAAAGAGCACGUAGGUGGUUUUUUAAGUCAGAUGUGAAAUCCCUGGGCUUAACCUGGAACUGCAUUUUGAAACUGAAAUACUAGAGUAUCGUAGAGGGAGGUAGAAUUCUAGGUGUAGCGGUGAAAUGCGUAGAUAUCUGGAGGAAUACCUGUGGCGAAAGCGGCCUCCUAAACGAAUACUGACACUGAGGUGCGAAAGCGUGGGGAGCAAACAGGGAUUAGAUACC